rnacentral:lncRNA from 10 species
CACUUCCUCUGGUGUACUGGGCACUGUGCUGGGUAGUAUAGGAGUUAUAAACAAGAAAUCAGGCUGGGUGCAGUGGCUCACACCUGAAAUCUCAGCACUUUAGGAGGCUGAGGCGGGUGGAUCACUUGAGCCCAGGAGUUUGAGACCAGCUUGGGCAAUAGUAUAGUGAGACCUCGUCUCUACUAAAAACAAAACAAAACAAAAACAACAACAACAAAAUUAGCCGGACAAGCGCCUGUGAUCCCAGCUACUUGGGAGGCUGAGGUGGGAGGAUCGCUUGAGAUGGUCAAGGCUACGGUGAGUUGUGAUGGCACCACUGCACUCCAGCCUGGAUGUGAGCAAGACCCUGUCUUGAAAAAAAAAA